GCCGGGUGUGGUGGUGCACACCUGUAAUCCCAGCCACUCGGGAGGCUGAGGCAGGAGAAUCGCUUGAACCCAGGAGACAGAGGUUGCAGUGAGCUGAGAUUGUGCCACUGCACUCCAGCCUGGGCAACAGAGUGAGACUCCGUCUCAA
rnacentral:SRP_RNA from 1 species